GAGCAUUAAAUGUGUUGUAAACUUGAUUCUAAGUUUUCAAAAAUAUAACAAAAGGAAAAAAAGCCUUAUAUCAUUUCACACUAAAUAUACAAUUCAUCUCCUUGAAGAUUAAAUAAAGUAUGGUCAACAAAAUAAAUCUCUUAAUGUAGUUCACAUAUGUGUCUUCAGUGUGUACGGGCGUGCUUUACUUAGAAUUUAGGUCAAACCAAAUUUGGCACUUAUCAAUACCAACGGUAUGUCACAUGGGAGGAUGUCAUCAAAAUCCUUACGCCUUGCUCAAUCAUUUCGCAUGUUUGACUCCUUCUCACGUAUCUGUUGGGGAUUUCCAUUUUUUUUACGAUAGUAUUCAUAUAAGUUUAUUACGAGCAUAAGUAUGAUAUGAUAUUCGGACCAGUUUAUUCGUAACUAUCUUAAUUUUUUAAUCCUUGCUGAAUGAGCUUCGGGGUAGGACUAGUCCGUUAGGUUAUUGUCUUGGUCUAAUAGUGGUGUAUGUCAUGUCCAUACUAUUUUUCUGUUUUUUCAUAAUACAGUAGUAUUAUAAUUGAUUGUUGUUAUUGAUUUUCUGUCUAUUUUCUGUAUCCUAAUAUGCUUAUAUUAUUUUUUUGGAUUUUUGUUGUCACAUAUUCUAUUUGCCUAUUUUAGUCUUUUCUGAGUUGAAUGUCUCUCGGAAAUAGCAUCGCUAUCCCUCCGGGUUAAGGGUAAUUAGGUCUGCAUAUAUUCUAAUCUCCUCAGACUCCAUUUAUGAGAUUUUAGUGAGUUGUUGUUGUUUAAUCCUUGCUUAAUUGUUUCACAUCUCUCUCUUUUUCACGAAACUAUAGGUGAUUUCCAUUUCUUUUUCUCUUUUAAGAUGGUGUUCAAAUCAGUGUUUUCGUACUUUGCCUAUUUUAUCCGACAGCACAAGUACCGGAAUUCUAAUCAUUUGGACUAUUUCUGCUAGGGUUCUUUGGCAUCUUUUGUUCUAUUUACUUAUUUAUCUACAUGUAUCACAAUUAGAAAAAUGUUUGAAAGAAAAAAUGGAAAGAGAAUUAGUAGAAAACUAUUAAAUCGUGCGAUAGGAUGGUACGUACAUAUUCCUAUACUUUUAAACAGAAGUCUCACGUUAAAGAACCACUUCAUAUAAAGCGUUUUAUCCUCUCUUUUUCCUCACUGGAUUUAAUUAUGCGAAUCUAAAUUAAUUGGACGGAUAGAGGAGAAAGAUGAUUCGACAAAGGAAGCAGUGCAGUACUAUACAUAUACGUGGUUGAGAAGAACGAUAAGACUACCAUUAUAGCGAAAGCAUGUGAAUCCUAGAAAUUUGCCAUGCCAAAUAGAACAAGGCUCAACCAGUAGCUCUCACUCAUGAAUAAUUGAAUAUAUAGAUUUUGUUUAUUCACAUACGUCAAUUCUUACUUAACCGAUUCUUUUUCCCUCUACAAAUUAAUUUCUAACUCAAAACGAAAAUUCACGGACAAAUAUGAUAGAAAAUUGAGAACAAUGUGUUAGCGUAAUAUUUGAGUUGAAGUUGAAAGAAGUAUUUGAUAUUGAAAUUGAAAAACAAAUGUGGAAAUCGUUUCUGUUGUAUUUGGAUAUAAAUUUCAUUUGAAAAAAGAUCGUGAAAAUAAAAGAGUUGUGAGUGAAAAUAAGACGAUAACAACAACCCAGUAUAAUAAUGUAAGUGGAGUCUGAGGAGGAUAUAAUUAUGCAGCCUUAUCCCUGUUGGUAAGGGUGUACAUAGACCGGGUUGGUUCGGAUUUUACAAUUACCAAACCAAACCGAUUGUGUCGGGUUAUUAAAUAUAAAGACCAAACCAAACCAAUAAAUUCGGGUUUUUCAAUAUCAAUUUUUCUCGGGUUUUUUUGGGUUUUCGGGUUAUUCGGGUUUUUUCGAAUUUUUUUCCUGUAAAAUCUUCGUAGAACAAAAUAUAUAACGUAUGCUCAAAAN
rnacentral:lncRNA from 1 species